CCUACGGGUGGCAGCAGUGAGGAAUAUUGGUCAAUGGGCGCGAGCCUGAACCAGCCAAGUCGCGUGAGGGAAGACGGUCCUAUGGAUUGUAAACCUCUUUUGUCGGGGAGCAAAGGACGCCACGCGUGGCGUUCUGAGUGUACCCGAAGAAAAAGCAUCGGCUAACUCCGUGCCAGCAGCCGCGGUAAUACGGAGGAUGCGAGCGUUAUCCGGAUUUAUUGGGUUUAAAGGGGGCGCAGGGGGAAGGUAAAGUCAGCGGUAAAAUUGGGGGGCUCAACCUCUUAGAGCCGUUGAAACUGGGUGUCUUGAGUGAGGGAGAAGUAGGCGGAAUGCGUGGUGUAGCGGUGAAAUGCAUAGAUAUCACGAAGAACUCCGAUUGCGAAGGCAGCAUACUGGCGCGCAACUGACGUUGAUGCACGAAAGUGUGGGUAUCGAACAGGAUUAGAUACCCGAGUAGUC
rnacentral:rRNA from 1 species